GAUCCUGGCUCAGAGCGAACGUUAGCGGCGCGCUUAACACAUGCAAGUCGCACGAGAAAGGGCUUCGGCCCCGGUACAGUGGCGCACGGGUGAGUAACACGUGGGUGAUGUGCCGUUCUGUGGGGAAUAACCUUCCGAAAGGAGGGCUAAUACCGCAUCCGACCGUUCACUGGGAAGUGAACGGUGAAAGCAGGCCUCUGUAUACACGCUUGCGCAGAACGAACAGCCCGCGUCCCAUCAGCUAGUUGGCGAGGUAACGGCUCACCAAGGCGAAGACGGGUAGCUGGUCUGAGAGGAUGGCCAGCCACACUGGAACUGAGACACGGUCCAGACUCCUACGGGAGGCAGCAGUGGGGAAUCUUGCGCAAUGGGCGAAAGCCUGACGCAGCGACGCCGCGUGGACGACGAAGGCCCUCGGGUUGUAAAGUCCUGUGGGGCGAGACGAAAGACAGUCAUUCAAAUAGGGUGAGUUGGUUGACGGUAUCGCCUUAGCAAGCACCGGCU
rnacentral:rRNA from 1 species